AUAAUUUCUGUCUGAGUGGUUGUAUUUUUUCAAUUAUUUUACUAAUAUACUAUGUUAUCUAUACAGAAAAUUUCUAAGGUUAAAGAGGCUAUUUCAAUAGCAAAUAAUGCAUGCUGGUCUAUUGGAGAACUUGCAGUUAAGAUUCCUAUAACUUGACAUUGGAGUCUCG